GGAGCAAGCUGGUCUAUCGCUCCGUUUGGAGAGGAAAGUCCGGGCAACACAGAGCGUCUCGCUUCCUAACGGGAAGAGGGCAGUCCUGAUAGCAUUCUGAGCUUGGCGAAGAGUGAAAUCGGGCCGCUGUCAAUGGAAAGUGCCACAGAAAAGAAACUGCCUCGCCCCUGGCGCGGUAACGGUGAAAACGUGAGGUAAGAGCUCACGGCUCUGCAUGGCGACAUGCACCGACGGUAAACCCCGGGAGUUGAAAGGCCAAAUAGGUCAUGGAGCUGCUCGCUCACUAACAUGAUGGGUAGGCCGUUAGAUCGUGUCAGCAAUGGCACGGCCAGAUAAAUGAUAGGCAUCCCGCGUACGCGGGAGAACAGAACCCGGCUUACAGGCUUGUUUUUUUG
rnacentral:RNase_P_RNA from 1 species